rnacentral:rRNA from 1 species
UACGUAGGCAGCGAGCGUUUGUUCGGAGUUACUGGGCGUAAAGGGUGCGUAGGCGGUUGUUUAAGUUUGGUGUGAAAUCUCCCGGCUCAACUGGGAGGUGCGCCGAAUACUGAAUGACUAGAGUGCGGGAGAGGAGAGUGGAAUUCCUGGUGUAGCGGUGAAAUGCGUAGAUAUCAGGAGGAACACCGGUGGUGUAGACGGCUCUCUGGACCGUAACUGACGCUGAGGCACGAAAGCGUGGGUAGCAAACAGG